GCCCCUUGCAAUUCGUCGUGUAUCUCGCGCAGAUAAAAAACAGCUCGUAUCGAAGACUCCCUUUUCUCGAACUGAGAAAUUAAAUGCAUCAAUAAGCAUGCUUUGGGAAGCAAAAACUAUUUAUACUUGAAAAGUUAUUCAAUUUCUCAUUGAUCAAAGAAGUAUCUAAAAACGUAUAAGUCCAAACGAAAAGUAUUGUUAGCAAAACAAAAAACAAAAUGCCGUCAUUAUGCAGAUACUUUCUGGCCGCACUUAGCAGUUAGUCAGCAAGUCGCUGGCCGCGCUUGCCGUGUUUGCCGAUUGUUAACACGCCGUCGACCGGCUAUUUUCGCCGCUGAUGUAAUCACUUUUUCAGCAAGAACAGAACCCCCUUUGAAAAAAAAGAAACAGAAAAACAGCCAUGUAACCAAAAUCAGUUUCGAUUUAGUUUCGUCAGUCGCCGGAUCGGGUCGACCCGCAAAGUACCCUAUAAAUGGUCGGUUCACAGAUAUAACACACAGAAAUUACACACCGAGAGAAUAGCUUA